UUAUAUCAAUAUUAUUACAAAGAGCUCGACCUAUUUCUGACGAUUCGUAAUUUGUUAACUUAUAACCUAAAAUAACCUUUUUUUUUUUGCUUAAUAAUUUAUAAUUUUAUAUAUUAAUAUAAUGAUAUUUUAAAAUUAAUAAUAAAUAUUUCGAACAGGGAUCGAGACAUACUCUUAUUCAAGGUUUUUUUUUUAUCAUUUUCGCCUAUUUAAAUUAUUUAUCGCCUGUAUUAAUAAUGUAUUAUAGAGUAAAAUUAAUUAAAUCAUAAAAGUGAACGUACUUCAUUAGUUUAAUCGGAAUGAUUAAUUUCAUUUUCGUGUCUAAGCUGAAAAACUGAUGUGAAAAACUAUUUUUAUGAUUAUGAUUAGCGAUUGUUUAACCUAUUGAACAGUGUCACUACGAUAGCGGAUCGUUAAGUGACCUUAAACCGCUUUGGUAUUAUUUUGAUGUAUGUACAUCAAAAUAUCAUUCACGUCGAUGGUUCGCGUUUUGAAUAAGUUAAAAACUUAAAACAAAUUUCAAAAAAAAAAAACACUUAGAUUUAACUUAGCCUAAACUUAGCCACUAUAAGAAUUGCCGACGCGAAUCGGACGCGUUUUAUUGAGUUUUGAAUUUAUUUAAUUUGUAAGAAAACUUAACUUAUCGCCGGAUUUAUUAUUUAAAUUAAUUAUUUUCAAGGCUUACAAAUUAUGUUUUGAUAAAGGGUUAACUGUUUAUAGUCACGUCUUUACCAACAACUAAAUUUAUCUAAUUUAUGGAUUUCAUGUAAAAGAUAACAUUUAUAUAUAAAAAAAAAAAAAACCUAAUUUAGUUAAACUAUCCUAAAUUUAGCUUAUAACCUAAUCUUACAGCCUCCAAAACGGCCCGACGACACGAUUUGGAACACGUUUAACCGUGUAUCUUAAUUAUUAAAUUUCCUAUGGAUAACAUCGUGAAAUAUAAACAAAAACAUUUUUUUUUUUUUUAAUUUUUAAUUUUUAAUUUUUUUUAAUUUUCUUUUUUAUUCAUAUACUAUAUCGAUAGUAAAGCAUCUUAAUAGUUACUCUCAUGAUACACGAGAUACUUAUAAAUUUAAAAAACAAAACUAUAACAAAAAAAUUAUGAUAACGAGGGAUUAUUCAAUCUCCUCGUCAUCUCUUAAAUAAUAAUAUUUGCUCUAAACACAUGAACCUGGUCCCACUGAAAAGAGACUGCGGAGAAAACCGUGACGCAUUUCGUGGGAGCUGACAGGUAUAUAGAAGAUAAUUAUAUACAAAGACUUAACCUAUAAAUAAUUAUGAUUUUAUAACGAAUGGUCGUCUUAACGAUGUCACAUCGUGAUCAAAACUCAUAAUUAUUUAAUCGAUGAAGGGUAAGGACAAUAAUGCCAAUACAUUUAAAUAGAAAAAUUUAGUAAAAAAAAAUAGAGAAAUAAAUAAAAAUCAGAAUUAGCCUAGACUUAGCCUAAACCGCAAGUGUCUUACUUAAUAAGACUUAGCCGGUCAAAGUAAAUUAAAAGACUCUUUAUGAAAGAAUUAAUAAACUGCGUUGUUAUCACGAAAAACCGUUUGAAAAAAACUGCUACGUAAUCAAAAAAUAUGUUAAACUAUUUUAUAAAAAUAACAAAUUUAUAAUAUAAGGCGUUUUAGACGAUUCCUUAUUAAUUAACUAACGUAAUUCAUCAGUUGAUUAAGACUGCGUUUUAUUCGCCAGUACAUGAUCAAUACUAUGUAAAUCACGUUUUACCUAUAUUAUUAAUAUCCCACUGAACGAGACGACGGUGCGAACCGUGUAACUUUAUAGGGGUGAAGAAAUUUAUACACAAAGACUUAACCUAUAAAUAAUUAUGUUAAGAUGUCACAUCGUGAUCAAAAAUCAUAAUUAUUUUAUCGAUGAAGGGUAAGGGCAAUAAUGCCAAUACAUUUAAAUAGAAAAAAUUAAGAAUAAAAAAAAAAAAAAAACUUACAUCCACGAAACGAUAGGAAGACGGAGCGAACCAGUUUGCGAUUUCGUGGAUAUCUAAUAUUUAUCCAUGGAUGUCUUUUUACGUGUUCAACCGUCAUUUUCUUAUUUUUAAUACUUAACCGCUAGGAAUUAAUAAUUACAUAAUCCAUGAGAUUAUUUUUUUUUUUUUUUAGUCAUAAAUAGCCAAAAAAAAAAAACUUAUCCUAUACAUCACUAUUAUAACAAAGAGCGCAAUUAUUUAACCGAUGAAGGGUAAUGACAAUAAUGCCAAUACAUUUGGAUAGAAAAAUUAAAAAAAAAAAAAAAAAACCUUAAUUAUACUAAGUAUACUUAGCCUAUCCGUUGAUCAAGACGGCGUAUAAUUCGCGCGUAAUGAUCAACAAUUGCAUAAGUUCCAUUUAGUGGUCCAGUGAGAGGAUGUGGCAUAUCAUAUUAUAAUUAAACCUAUAUCGUUAACCUAAGGAGUAUUACGGUAAACGGGGAAUCCCACUGCGUCCGACGGAUUAUUCAAGAGCUGUAAAUGUUCUAUUUGUUCAAAAAAAAAAAAAAUGAUUACUUAUCAAACCCAUGGUUCCUAAGAGAGAGCCAUCUAUUCCGAGAGAAAUUUAAUUCUUAUAAUCAGCCCCUGAUCUGCGAGGGAAAUAUACGGAAAAAAAAUCAAAAAAGAAUUUUAUUUAUAAGCUAUUAUAUAUAAGCUAUUUUAUAUAAGCUAUUAUGAAUUUCCCAAAAAAAAGCGAAUUAGGAAAUAAAAAUGAAAAUCGAAACAAAUUGAAUAUUAACAGCUCAAGAAAAAUCCAUCGACUGCGGUAGAACAUCCUGUAUUCACGCAACACAAAAUAAUUAACCUAACUUAUCUGGAUUGUCAGUGCAUGAUAUAGAUUAUUAUAUACAUGACACCAUUGAUCAAUACCAAUCUAUUGUUAAUCAUUGACAUUACACUGAUUGGGUGAAUUCAGUGGUACCUAUAGUAACUGUUGCUACCAUCCCACAGAACGAGACGACUGAGCGAACCGCGACGCAUUCCGUGGGACUUGAUAGGCGAUGAAGAAAAUUAUAUACAAAGAAUUAACCUAUAAAUAAUUAUGUUAAGAUGUCACAUCGUGAUCAAAAAUCAUAAUUAUUUAAUCGAUGAAGGGUAAGGACAAUAAUGCCAAUACAUUUGAAUAGAUAAAUUUAGAAAAAAAAAACCAACCUUAAUUACACUAAGCUUACCGAUGAUCGAUACUCGGUAUAAUUCGCGGGUAAUGAUCGACAAUUGCAAAAGUGCCAUUUUUACCUAUAGUAAAUGAACUUAAAUCUUGUUAAGAUUGUUUGUCGCUAGAGAAUGAAAGGAUCAACGCAACAAUAACUAGUGAAUACGCUGACCACAAUAUAAGAAGUAUGAUGACAACAUUAAAAAUUCAACAAAAAAAAAAAAAAAACGUAGAAAAUAUGCCUGUUUUUUACUUAACCUAAGAACAUUAUCAAUAAUACCCCAAAUUAUUUCCCAGUACAUAGUAUUGAUAAAAGAAAUAUUAAAAAUAAAAAUAAAAAAAAAACUACAACUAAAAGUAACAAACUAAUUAAGCAUAAAAAAAAAUAAACUAACUUUAAACCAUUCAACCGCAAACCGGUGACGAUGUUACGAUCGACGAAACGUGUACGAUGCGUGGUCGUUGUCAGUUUUAUAAUCGGCCGUGGCUUUAUCCGUG